ACGAAGUCAUCUGUUUUUGUGUGCGUGUGUGCAUGUGUGAAGGUGAUCCUAGCUAAUCCGGUUUUAUAAAUGUCUGACAUAAUCUGUGUUCCACUCACAGUGUCCAGAACAGGGAGAAGGGAGGAAAAGAGGAGACGCAGAGAGAAGAGAGAGGGGGGAGAGAGAGAAAGACGGAGAGGGGGGCAUAAAAAGAGGAGCAGGAAGGAGAUGGCAGGAGGAUAAAUGAUAGAAAGGCUGAUGGGCUUAAGGAGUAUGACAGAAAGAAAGCGUGAGAAAGAAUGCAGGGAAAUAAGACAUGGAUGAAGGAGAACAGAGCCAGGUGGAGCACCUGCUUUAGAUAAAGAGAACAUGCACGUCCGUGCACACCCAUCGUCGUGCCUGCAGCUGCAGUGCAGGCCGAACGGCUGCGAUUGGAGAGAGGAGAGGAAACCCGCCCCUGUUUGAUUGGACCAGAGCUGAGACUCAACAUAAUAUCACCUGCAUAAGAGGAGGACUCUUGUGUUGCUAGGCUUGUUGAAAAUGAAUAUUUCUUCAGUUAACACAAGGAAAAAAUAAAUAGAUACAUAGAUAAAAGAUCAAUAAAAAGACAAAAAAAUGAAAGGAGGGGAAAGACAUGUCAUGAGGACAGGGCUACAGAUCAGCAGUGAGGCUCAGAUGAAUGUGUAAUGUAACAGUCACUUCUCUCUGCAUCACUCUCACAUACCAAACAUUUUAGCAGAGGCUGGAUGACAUCCUGUCAACAGCUCAUUGCCGAUAAUAACUAAGUAAGUACUUAUGACACGAUAACAUCAUUCAUGGAAAAGAGAAGCAGGGAGAUUUGAGCUCACUCGGGGAGAUAUUUAAAGGGCAUGUUGGACAUCCCAUCUAUUUAAAUGAAAAAAUGUGGUGACAGUUAAAGGGAGACAUUCGGUAAGUACAGAGUACAGGGAACCACUGUUUAACCGAUCGAGAUCAGGACUUCCCCGGGAAACACAGUUGCAAAUAUUGCACACAGAGACCCAAUGCAUAUUAGGCAAUACUGACGUUACUGCUACUAUUUUUCUCUGUACGAGAUACACUCAUCCACUCACACAUAUUCAUGCAGUGUUUUAUUGUUUCUUUCAAGUGUUGCUGACAUGUUACUGCCACGGCGAGCACAGUAAGCUUUUCUAAAUAGAGAUACUUUCGUUUGGAAGAACAUUGUUAGGUUUCUCUAGGUCUCUAAGCCUGAAGCAUGAAAUAAUUUCCAUAAUUUUCUAUUUUUUUUUAUUUUU